AUGGGAAUAGCUAAGCGGUAUAGCGGGGGUUUGUGGCGCCCAAGGUCAAGAGUUCAAUUCUCUUUUCUCAUA
rnacentral:tRNA from 2 species